rnacentral:rRNA from 1 species
GCAUUUGGGAUGAAUAAGAAUGCUAGUUGAGCGCCUCCAGCCAUGUGGGAGGCGCAGCGCACAGCUCAGUAACACGUGGCUAACCUGCCCUUAGGACGAGACCAACCCCGGGAAACUGGGGAUAAUCCUCGAUAGGUGAAGAACUCUGGAAUGAGUCUUUGCUUAAAAGGCGUUGGAUCAUGCUUUCAGCGUCGCCUAAGGAUGGGGCCGCGACCGAUCAGGUUGUUGGUGAGGUAAUGGCCCACCAAGCCUUUUACCGGUGCGGGCCGUGAGAGCGGGAGCCCGGAGAUGGGCACUGAGACAAGGGCCCAGGUCCUACGGGGCGCAGCAGUCGCGAAAACUUUGCAAUACACGAAAGUGUGGCAGGGUCAUCCCGAGUGCCGACCGCUGAGGUUGGCUCUUACCCAGUCUAGAAGGCUGGGGGAAUAAGGAGAGGGCAAGUCUGGUGUCAGCCGCCGCGGUAAUACCAGCUCUCCGAGUUGUGGGGACGAUUAUUGGGUCUAAAGCAUCCGUAGCCGGCUGGGCAAGUCCUCUGUUAAACCCAGCGACAAAUCGUUGGCUUGCGGGGGAUACUGCUUGGCUAGGGGGCGGGAGAGGCCGUCGGUAUUCCCGGGGUAGGGGUGAAAUCCUAUAAUCCCGGGAGGACCACCAGUGGCGAAGGCUGUCGGCUAGAACGCGCCCGACGGUGAGGGAUGAAAGCUGGGGGAGCGAACCGGAUUAGAUACCCGGGUAGUCCCAGCUGUAAACGAUGCAGGCUAGGUGUUAGGGCGGCUACGGGCCGCUCUAGUGCCGCAGGGAAGCUGUUAAGUCUGCCGCCUGGGGGAGUACGAUCGCAAGAUUGAAACUUAAAGGAAUUGGCGGGGGAGCACCACAAGGGGUGAAGCUUGCGGUUUAAUUGGAUUCAACGCCGGG